GGUGGAUCCUGCCUACCGUAGACCAGGGGGGAUUUUAGGUAGGGGGAGAUUUUCAGAACCGAUCCGGACUUCCGGAGUCGAUUCCGGCUCAAGAGCGAGGUAACCGCAUGCUGGAGGGAUGGAUUUCUACCAGCUUGUCGUGCCCUUCCUCUCUGAGUUUUCACAGAGAAAAAGUUGUCCAUUUGGAAGGAUCAACUUAAAUCCAGGAUCUUUUGGAAGUAGUUUCACUUCGUCAGCCGCAUGGCGCCGGCAUUGCGACUGACUCUGUUGCUACGAGGUCCAGCUUGCUGACUAGAUUCUUGUGUUCCUGGAAUAGCUGAGGGCUACGCUUUUCUCCAAAUGGAGUGAAUCCAAAUCAUCAUCCCCUUCUUUGUUAUUAUUAUGCUAGAGUAUAGUGCUACAUUCAGUAUAUGUUACACUGAAUAUCUGUAUCCAUAUCAGCGACUUGGGGCAUGAUUGAUGCAUUUACAUUUUGACACUGCUAUUUCUGUAAUCUUCUCUCCUGCUUAAGCUACGCGGGAGUUACAUCUAUAAAUCUUCGCGUUACGUCUA